CCACUCGCGGCCACCGUAGCGGGAUCGGCGGAGGCCCCGCGGCGGCCGAUGGUCCGCGUUGUGCCGCCGCCCCCCGCCCGCCCCGUUCCGACCCGGCAGCGGCCGCAGAUGGCGCGGCGGGGACCGGGCAGGCGGGGCGGGAGGUCACCGGCACCGCCGCCGCCGCCGCUGCUGGCGCUGCUGCUGCUGUUGGUGCUGGGCCCCGCCGCCGCCGCCGGCGAGGAGGUGGCGGUCUCCAAGGAAUGCGACAAGCCGUGCGCCAACGGCGGGCGGUGCCAGCCGGGCACCGGGCAGUGCGAGUGCCAGCCUGGCUGGGUGGGCGACCAGUGCCAGCACUGCGGGGGGCGCUUCAGACUCACAGAACCUUCAGGGUAUGUCACAGAUGGGCCUGGAAAUUACAAAUACAAGACAAAAUGCACCUGGCUCAUUGAAGGAAGGCCAAAUACAAUCCUCAGGCUUCGAUUCAAUCACUUCGCCACAGAGUGUAGCUGGGACCACUUGUAUGUGUACGAUGGAGACUCAAUUUAUGCUCCUUUACUGGCAGCUUUUAGUGGUCUUAUUGUUCCUGAGAAAGACAGCAAUGAAACAGUACCUGAAGUUGUAGCUACUUCUGGAUAUGCUCUUCUACAUUUCUUCAGUGAUGCUGCCUAUAAUCUCACAGGGUUUAACAUCACCUAUAAUUUCAAUAUGUGUCCCAAUAACUGCUCUGGCCAAGGGGAGUGCAGGCUCAACAGCAGCAGCAUGGCUCCGCAGUGUGAGUGUGCCAAGCGCUGGAAAGGAGAGGCUUGUGACAUUCCCUACUGCCCAGGGAACUGUGGGGCUCCUGAGCAGGGCCACUGCAGCACCAACGGCUCCAGAGCCUGUGUGUGCUCUGCAGGCUGGCAAGGUCCUGGCUGUUCAAUUCCUAUUCCUGCAAACCAGUCAUUUUGGGAACGGGAAGAAUACACUCUUCCAAAACUUGCUAGAGCAUCUCACAAAGCCGUCAUCCAUGACAAUAAAAUGUGGAUUGUUGGAGGCUAUGUCUUCAAUCAUUCUGACUCUCAGAAGGUUUUAGCGUAUGAUCUCAUUUCUGAAGAGUGGCUUCCACUGAACAGCUCUGUGAACUCAGUAGAGAUGAGAUAUGGUCAUUCAUUGGCAUUGCACAAGGAUAACAUCUACAUGUACGGCGGUAAGCUGGAUGCCACGGGGAACGUGAGCAGCCAGCUGUGGGUGUUCCACAUCCCGUGGCAGAGCUGGGUCAUGCUGGCACCCCGGGCCAAGGAGCAGUACGCCGUGGUGGGACACUCUGCCCACGUGGUCACCCUGCGGGACAACAGCACCGUCAUGCUGGUGCUCUUCGGGCACUGCCCCCUCUAUGGCUACAUCAGCAACGUCCAGGAGUACAACCUGCUGACAAAUACCUGGAGCAUCUUGCAGACGAGCGGAGCUCUGGUGCAAGGAGGAUAUGGUCACAGCAGUGUUUAUGAUCCAAAUACAAGAUCAAUCUAUAUCCACGGGGGUUACAAGGCCUUCAGUGCCAACAAGUACAGGCUGGCAGAUGAUUUGUACAAAUAUGAAGUGGAUUCCCGCAUGUGGACUAUUCUCAAAGACAGCCGAUUUUUCCGCUACUUGCACACAGCUGUGAUAGUGAGUGGGACCAUGCUGGUGUUUGGAGGAAACACUCACAACGACACCUCCAUGAGCCACGGAGCCAAGUGCUUUUCUUCGGAUUUCAUGGCCUAUGAUAUCGCCUGUGAUCGAUGGUCUGUGCUGCCUCGCCCGGCUCUGCACCACGAUGUCAACAGGUUUGGGCACUCUGCUGUGCUGUACAACAGCACCAUGUAUGUGUUUGGAGGCUUCAACAGCCUCCUCCUGAGUGACAUCCUGAAGUUCACACCUGAGAGAUGUGAGGCUUUUGGCAACGAGUCGUCCUGCCUGGGGGCUGGCCCCGGGGUCAGAUGUGUGUGGGCUCCCCGCCCUCCCCGCUGCAUCCCCUGGGAAAAUGCAACACUGGAGCAGCAGCAAAAGGUCUUUGAAGACUGUCCUCCCAAGCCAGUUGUAGACAAUGAAAAAUGUGAUCAGAUUACAGACUGCUACAGCUGCACAGCCAACACCAACAGCUGUCAGUGGUGUUCUGACCAGUGUAUCCCAGCACACAACAACUGCACAGAGGAACAGGUUCCUGUUACUCUCUAUGACAAUUGUCCUAAGGAUAAUCCUGCCUAUUACUGUAACAAAAAGACAAGUUGUAAAAGCUGUGCCAUGGAUCAAAACUGUCAGUGGGAGCCUAGGAAUCAGGAGUGCAUUGCUUUGCCAGAAAAUAUCUGCGGAACAAACUGGCAUUUGGUUGGCAACUCCUGCCUGAAGAUCACCAACGCCAAGGAGAGCUACGAUCAUGCCAAACUGUCCUGUAGGUCCAACGGUGCUUUACUGGCUUCUCUCACCACCCAGAAGAAGGUGGAAUUUGUUCUGAAGGAGCUGCAGAAGAUUCAGUCUUCACCCAAAACCUUGACUCCAUGGGUUGGACUGAGGAAAAUCAAUGUGUCCUACUGGUGCUGGGAAGACAUGUCUCCCUUCACCAACACCCUCGUCCAGUGGCUUCCCAAUGAACCCAGUGAUGCUGGAUUUUGUGGAUACUUAGCUGAGCCUUCCCAACAGGGAUUGAAGGCAGCAACAUGUAUCAGUGAGGUCAACGGCACUGUCUGUGAAAGGCCAGCCAACCACAGCGCCAAGCAGUGCCGCACGCCGUGCGCGCUGCGCGCCGCCUGCGCCGAGUGCACCAGCGGCAGCUCCGAGUGCAUGUGGUGCAGCAACAUGCAGCAGUGCGUGGACUCCAACGCGUACGUGGCCUCCUUCCCCUACGGGCAGUGCAUGGAGUGGUACACCAUGAGCAGCUGUCCCCCUGAAAACUGCUCAGGCUACUGCACGUGUGCUCAGUGCCUGGAGCAGCCAGGCUGCGGGUGGUGCACGGACCCCAGCAACACCGGCAAGGGCAAGUGCAUUGAGGGCUCCUACCGGGGGCCUGUCAAGGUGCCCACCCCAUCCACGCCAGGGAAACACAGCCUGGAGCCUGUUCUCAAUGUCAGCAUGUGUCCUGUGGAGAAUGCCUACAACUGGUCCUUCAUCCAGUGUCCAGCCUGUCAGUGCAACGGGCACAGCCGGUGUGUGAACGAGAGCGUUUGUGAGAAGUGUGAGAACCUGACCACGGGCAGGCACUGUGAGACCUGCAUCUCGGGCUACUACGGGGACCCCACCAACGGGGGCACGUGCCAGCCUUGCAAGUGCAAUGGCCACGCGUCCGUCUGCAACACAAACACAGGGAAAUGUUUCUGCACAACCAAGGGAAUCAAAGGAGAAGAGUGUCAGCUGUGUGAAGUUGAAAACAGAUAUCAGGGAAAUCCACUUAAAGGAACGUGUUACUAUACUCUCCUCAUCGACUAUCAGUUCACCUUCAGCCUUUCCCAGGAGGACGAUCGCUAUUACACAGCAAUCAACUUUGUAGCAACACCUGAAGAGCAAAACAGAGACCUGGACAUGUUCAUCAAUGCAUCUAAAAACUUCAACCUCAACAUUACUUGGUCCACAAGUUUUGCAGCUGGCACACAGGCUGGGGAGGAAAUUCCAGUUGUUUCCAGAACUAAUAUAAAAGAAUACAAGGACAGUUUUUCCAAUGAGAAAUUUGAUUUCCGCAACAACCCGAACAUCACCUUCUUUGUUUACGUCAGCAAUUUCACCUGGCCCAUAAAAAUACAGAUUGCAUUCUCACAGCACAGCAACUUUAUGGACCUGGUGCAGUUCUUUGUGACAUUUUUCAGUUGUUUCCUGUCAUUGCUCCUGGUGGCAGCUGUGGUUUGGAAGAUUAAACAGAGUUGCUGGGCAUCACGACGGCGAGAGCAACUACUGCGUGAGAUGCAACAGAUGGCAAGUCGCCCCUUCGCCUCCAUCAACGUUGCCUUAGAAACAGAUGAGGAGCCACCAGAUCUCAUCGGGGGAAGCAUAAAGACUGUUCCGAAGCCCAUCGCGCUGGAGCCCUGCUUUGGGAACAAAGCAGCCGUUCUCUCCGUCUUCGUGAGGCUACCUCGAGGCCUUGGGGGUAUUCCACCACCAGGACAGUCAGGUGAGCAGUACUCUUGUCCCUGAUGGCUUGGAAUUAACUCUGGAUCCUUCCCCCGCCUUACAGGUUCACCGUUCCUGAUCCCACAGAAGCUGCUGUAGCCCCAGUUCAGCUUGGGAUGUGCUCGAGGUCUCGCCGUGGCCAGUGCUCUGGUGGACAUUUCACAACAGAUGCCAAUUGCCUACAAAGAGAAGUCAGGCGCCGUCCGAAAUCGGAAGCAGCAGCCCCCUGCACAGCCAGGAACCUGUAUUUGAUGCAUGGACAUCAGAAACUGUCUAGGGUUUUAAACAAAAUGGAAAAGUAAUACCAAGGAGGAGGAAGAUUUCCAAGUUGUGUCCCAAGAGACUAGAAGCACCCGGAAAAAAACACAACUUCCUUCAACCCAGUUUUUUUCUCUCAUCCACGUGCUAGUUGGCUUUAUUUGACAACUGCUCCACUUAAGUUUUACUGACACAUGGCUUCAGAUUGCUCCUUUGUUUUCGUCAGGUUUAAAGCAGAAUGAUUCCAUUGCAGGUGCGGUGAGGUCCGAGCCGCCACUCCCGGUCAGUGUAAAUACAACAGUAGUCCAAUGAAUGACACUCAGGUUUCUACAUGGAAAGUGCUUUGUAGUUCAUGUAUUUAUCAAACUGUACAAAAAGAAAAAGAUCCAGUGUUUACAGGUGUCAGCUCUCAACCCAUAAACACUACUAUUAAUCUUCAAAGCAUCUUCAUUCUUUGUUUUCAUUUAAUAUUUAACUGUUCCCUCAUUAUUUCAGUGGAACUCUCUUCCAGGCACAGCCUUUUUGUAGUCAUCGUGGUCCAGGAAUGCAAAAGCUGGGAUGGUUUGAAGGUCGAUGUUGCUCAGACCACACGAAAUAACUGGGAAGUUGGAUGUUGCUGUGGAAAGACUCAGUGUUUACAUAGUCUUAACCUGCUUGGAGUACACCACACACAAGUGCCUAGACGUGAACAGAUCUAGGGAGUGAGGAGACUGCUACACACGCUGCUUUUUAACACAAUUAAAUUCCUUUAAAGGUAUGUAUACUCACAUCUAGAGUCACCCAAGGCACUCUGUGUCCUCUGUCCCUUGCAGUCAGAGGAAAAUCACUUUUUCCUGACCAACCAAGUGCUCACCCAGGUGCAAAUACCUGGAAGGCACGUCGAGUUUCAGUAUCCCGUGAGAAAACUCCCGGUUUCACCAGCAUUUUCAUAGAAGCAGUCUGUGUUCCAGGUCAGACACAUCACAUUUUUCUGAUUUUGGCCUCUUUCCUCCCCCUUCCCUCCCGCCAUCCUCUGGAAGAGAGCUGAGCUUGGAGGCAUUGCUCCCCAGUGGUUAUGGUUUACUCCAUCUUUUGCAGGGUGUAAAAAGCAACUCUCCGGGUGCCAGAUCACUCGAGGAUGAAGUAAAAAAAGAACUUUAAAUAAAAAUCAAGCAAAGCAGCUUUGUUUUGCCACAGGUUUGAGUUCUACACAAUCAGAUCCUGGUGUUUCCUGCUGGGCUUGAGCUCUGUUAGAGGUCGAAGAAGUCGCGGAUGGGGGAAAGGAUGAGACUUGCAAACAGCAAAGAGAAGGUUUGGUGUUUGGGGGGUGCAUCAAACCAUCUGAACUGCUCUGACAAGCUGGGAUUGUGGUUUGAGGCUCCAGGUUGCACUGAGCCCAUCUGUGUUUGGGGGUGUCCAGUGUGUCCCUGGAAUGUGGCACAGGGCCAGGCCCUCAUGGCAUGGGGGCUGCAGUGGUGGGAAGGGGUCAGAGAAGGUGCCAGAUGAGGAGUGUGAUUGUGGCUCCAUCAGUCAUCAUGGAUUCAUCCAGGUCACUGAGCUGCUGGGGUCUGUGAGGACAUCUGAUAUUUUAUAAUGGAGAAGUAACACGUGGAGGGAUGUUCUCUUUGGAAAGGCAGCACCUUUCCAAACUGAAACCCAAAAACUGCUCCUGUUUUGUGCGUGUUCUGGUGAUCAGUCACAUAUCAGCCAUUCAUUUCUGGGGUGUUUUUUUCCUAACCAUGUAUUUUGAAGAAGCUCUUUGGAGCCUGGCAGCAUUGCAGUAAAGAGGUGAAUUGCUGUGUGUGUACCAGACAGUGGUGAUGGGAACAGCCUGGUGGUUUAAGGACUCUGGUGGAUGAUAAUUCUGAUUUAAUGUGUCAUUUAACAAGUGCAAUGGGACUGCAAAAAAAUAUUGGGAAAAAAUGCAUUAUAUAUAAAAAUAUAUAUAAAUGCAUCUGUUUCUAAAGUAGAAGUUUCAGUGCUCUGUGGGAAGAAGGAAUUAUGAUGGGAAAAGGGUUGAGAUUUGUCUUCAAAUGAAGGGAUUUAGGCAAUUUGAGUUUUACCUGAUGCACAGAUUACCUCAGACAGAUUCAUCUCCUGAUAAUAUUUUCUAACUUGCUCAGUGAUAGGGUUAAUCUGAGCUGGAGAAAUAAGACUGGACUAAAACCCCUCCCCUGUUACUGCCUAUUUUCAGCCACGAUGCACAUCCUGAUGUUUGCAGAUUUCUUCUUGCUGGUUUUGGGAGGAGAGCUGCCAGCCCAGAUGGUGAAAGCCCCUGUGCUUGAGUUUCCCUCUUCAGGACAGCUCUUGGGCAGGUGCUUAAAGUUGUUGGGCUUUCCUGAUCACAAACAGCUUUCAGAACCGUAGGUCUGGAGGGGUGAUAGAUUUUUACAUUAAUAAAAAGGCAUAAAUGCAGAGUUUGGGAUGUUUUCUCACUCCUGGAGAGCUGGGCUGUCUGGUCUGCAAAGCCUACAGUGUGCCAGGAGUGAGGCCAAAAUGAGGUGUCAAAUACUGAAAAAAUGAGCAGAAAUGAUCAAAGUCAAGGUUUAUCAGAACCAAGAAAUGUAAAUAGAGCAACAGGAGUUGCUUAUGUAACUAAAAGGAACUGGCUCCUUUAGGAUGUAGCUCUACCCUGCAUCUGAUCUCCAUCCUGAUGAGGGAGAAGAGAAUUCUCAUACAUAGCUCUGCUGCAGUUUCAUCCCAGCUUAGAGGUAAACAGGGAAAAACAUGGGAAAGGAUAGGGAAAAGAGGAAUUGCUGGCAGUUUAUCACCAGGCCAGUAUCAAAAGUGAAGGAUUUUUGGGUUUAUUUCAUUUGGAAGUGAGGUGGGGGAGAAAGAAAACCUUAUUUCAUGGGAGAAUCUGUAAAUAAAUGACAAAUGGCACACAGAUUUUGCACUUGUACAUAAACUCUACAGUAACGUGCAGAACAUGGAGAGAUUUAAAGUGUAUAUAAACCAGAAAAAAUAUUGAAUGUAUUUUUGUUGAUUUUAAAUUAUGUAUGAGUUUUGUCUUAAAAACUCCUUCAUCUGAUCAGUAGUAGAUAACUUUCCAGAUCUUUAAACACCAGAUUAUAUCGUGAUAUCUUGCAAAGCAGGGAGGCAUAACUUGACUUUUGUGUGUUCAAAUGUAUUUCACUUAUAUGUAGAAACCAAGUUAAAUAAUGGCUUUUGCAUUUGAUAGGGGAAAAAGCAACAUUUGGAUGCAAGUAAUAAAGGUCCUUAAAGUGGUCACUACGUGGAGGAUUGAAUCAGUCCUUUAAGGCCUUUGUUACUAAAAUUGUGGCAGUGUUUCCAUUCAAAAUCACUAUUUUCAGGUGUAAACUGGCUGAAAUUCAGCAUUUGGUGUCUGGGCCCUCAGAAGAUUUUAAUUCUAUGAGAGGAGCCUUUUAAAAAAUUAAUGAAAUUUCAGAACUGUUGGGGCCCUUUUCUUUGAGAAAACAAUGGUGCCAGUGGAUCUCCAAAUAACACCUUUUUUUUUUUUAAUUCACCAUUUUCCAUGGUUUUUAGCCCAGAAUUUUCUCUGGGCUGGUGUAGCAUGACCUUGCUAUGCUCUGGCUCAAUAUUUUGGGUACAAGAAUAUUUAUGAGACAACUUUUCAGUUGUUAUCACUUUUCCUGGGCUUAAAAUGCAUUGCAGUGAAAUUACGAAAAUAAAGCUGUUUAUGAUGGGAAAUGCCUGUGAUUAACAUCAGCCGUGGUGUGUAAUGUCCCAGACUCAGUGGUGUGGAGCUGUGGACGUGGCAGCCCCUGCUGGCAGACCCACCCUGCUGAGGGGUGCUCUGUGUCCUGGAGGGUGCCCAGAGGUUCUGGUGCUGUGAGGAGACGUGCCCGGGGUGCCCAGCCCUGGUUGGGGGGUGCCUGGAAAUGGCACUCAGCUUGCUCGGCCCUGCACGGGCUGGAAGGAGGGUUUGAGGCUGAAAUCAGCCCUGGGCCUUCUCCAUAACCUGGGGGCUCCAGUGCCAUGGGCUGGGCUGCCCCCUGUCCUUGCUGCUCCAGGUGUUCCAGCUGCUUUUCCUUCUCCAGGAGACCCUGAGCUGGGGACCGGCACCAGCUGCAUCCCGGAGCCCUCAGCCCCUUCCCACUGGGAUUUCUUGCUGUUAACUGGGAUUUAUUAUCCUGAGCUGUGCUGUGAGAAUGCAGCCAGCAGGCUCUGCGUGCCCAGGGCAGCCCCUGAGCUCCUCUGCCCCUCCCGGGUUGCUCCAUCUGGGAACACCCGGGGCAGGGGGAGGGAAGGGGCUGCCCUGGCAGAGCCCCCUGGAGCUGCAGGAUGGGGGGACAGGGCUUGGUGGGCUGUGCUGGGAAGGGAGGGAAGGAAUGGCUUGGGGCGUGCUCCUCGUUUUGGGUGCGUUCUUUGCAAUUUUAGACAAAUUCCUGCUUUUUCUCUUGUUAGCUGCUGAAACGAGCUGAGUUUCCAUGCCAGGACUACUACAAUUUGUGUAUCUGCUGAUUUUUUGCAUCAGGGCAGGUUUUGUUCAGUCUGUUUCUUUGUUCACACAGACUAUUUGUGUGCGUCUUCCAGGUACUAGAAUUCUUUAGACGUUUCCUCUCCAUUUAGUAUUGAUUCCACAAACCUCACCAGUAGAAAAAAAGAAAAAAAAAUAACAAUUGUCGCAGAGUGUAUCACAUGUCAGUCCAUUAAAAAAAAAAAAAAAAAGAAAAGAAAAAAAAAGAGUUUUCUAUUACUCUGAAAUUUGUGCACAUUAAUGUUCUUUAAACUAAGAUCCUUGAAUUAAUUGUAUUCUGGAUUUUUUCCCCUCUUUGUUCUGUAAUUAUUUAUGAUUCUUAUCUGUGUUCAGACUUGAGCUUAGUUUGUUAAUAUGUAUAAUUUAGCAUUUAUUGCAUUCAUAUGUAAAUAGGAGCAAGUAUUGUAAACUAUUUCAUUGCUGGGGUUGUGGGUGUUAUACAUACACACAUUUAGGAUUGCAGUUUUUGGUAUAAUUUUUUGUAUUGUAAAAUAACAGCUAAUUUAAAGCCGGAAUGAGAGAACCUUGGGAGGUCUGUGCAUUUUAAAUACAAAUGUGAAGUACAUGUAUAUAAAUAAAAGUAAAUAAUGCAAAUCUUUCCUCUGAAAUAAAAAGUAGAUGAUCUGGUUAAAA